rnacentral:rRNA from 1 species
AUUGAACGCUGGCGGCAGGCCUAACACAUGCAAGUCGGACGGUAGCACAGAGAGCUUGCUCUUGGGUGACGAGUGGCGGACGGGUGAGUAAUGUCUGGGGAUCUGCCCGAUAGAGGGGGAUAACCACUGGAAACGGUGGCUAAUACCGCAUAACGUCGCAAGACCAAAGAGGGGGACCUUCGGGCCUCUCACUAUCGGAUGAACCCAGAUGGGAUUAGCUAGUAGGCGGGGUAAUGGCCCACCUAGGCGACGAUCCCUAGCUGGUCUGAGAGGAUGACCAGCCAAACUGGAACUGAGACACGGUCCAGACUCCUACGGGAGGCAGCAGUGGGGAAUAUUGCACAAUGGGCGCAAGCCUGAUGCAGCCAUGCCGCGUGUAUGAAGAAGGCCUUCGGGUUGUAAAGUACUUUCAGCGGGGAGGAAGGCGACGCGGUUAAUAACCGCGUCGAUUGACGUUACCCGCAGAAGAAGCACCGGCUAACUCCGUGCCAGCCGCCGCCGUAA